GUGAAGAACGUAGCGAAAUGCGAUACGUAAUGUGAAUUGCAGAAUUCAGUGAAUCAUCGAAUCUUUGAACGCAUAUUGCGCUCUCUGGUAUUCCGGAGAGCAUGCUUGUUUGAGUAUCAGUAAACACCUCAACUUCCAUAUCUUUUUUGAAAUGGGAGUUGGACUUGAGUGAUCCCAACGCUUUUCCUCACCGAAAAGUGGCGGGUUACUUGAAAUGCAGGUGCAGCUGGACUUUUCUCUGAGCUAUAAGCAUAUCUAUUUAGUCUGCCUAAAAAACAGCUUAUUACCUUUGCUGCAGCUAACAUAAAGGAGAUUAGUUCUUGUGCUGACUGAUGCAGGAUUCACAAAGACAGCUUCGGCCGACUUUGUAAACUCGAUCUCAAAUCAAGUAAGACUACCCGCUGAACUUAAGCAUAUCAAUAAGCGGAGGA
rnacentral:misc_RNA from 1 species